UACGUAGGUGGCAAGCGUUGUCCGGAUUUACUGGGCGUAAAGAGCGCGCAGGCGGUUGUUUAAGUCGAAUGUGAAAGCCCCCCGGCUCAACUGGGGAGGGUCAUUCGAUACUGAUCGACUUGAAGGCAGGAGAGGGAAGUGGAAUUCCGGGUGUAGUGGUGAAAUGCGUAGAUAUUCGGGAGGAACACCAGUGGCGAAGGCGGAC
rnacentral:rRNA from 1 species